rnacentral:rRNA from 1 species
UAUUUUGGACACUGGGGGAAACCCUGAUCCAGCAAUCCCGCGUGCAGGAUGAAGGCCUUCGGGUUGUAAACUGCUUUUGUACGGAACGAAAAGUCUUGGGCUAAUACCCUGGGAUCAUGCCGGCCCCGUCAGAAUAAGCACCGCCUAACUACUUGCCAGCCUCCGCGGUAAUACGUAGGGUGCACGCGUUAAUCGGAAUUACUGGGCGUAAAGCGUGCGCAGGCGGUUUUGUAAGACAGUGGUGAAAUCCCCGGGCUCAACCUGGGAACUGCCAUUGUGACUGCAAGGCUGGAGUGCGGCAGAGGGGGAUGGAAUUCCGCGUGUAGCAGUGAAAUGCGUAGAUAUGCGGAGGAACACCGAUGGCGAAGGCAAUCCCCUGGGCCUGCACUGACGCUCAUGCACGAAAGCGUGGGGAGCAAACAGG